UCAGAAAUUGUGGGAAUGGGCUGAUUGGGAAGCAAUGAAAUCAUCUCAAGUGAUUGUGCGUAAUUUUCUUCCCAAUUCCGCCCAUUCCUAUGAUUUCUGA
rnacentral:pre_miRNA from 1 species